CGUAGAUGUGAGGGAUGAUCCCGCAUGCGACACGUCUGGCGACAAUAGAAUGCGCCGACACGCUGAUAAAGCUUAUAGCAUAAAGCGUGCAGCGUCCAUGUGCACCUUGUACAUGUGUCUCUGUACAUGAGUGUAGCCUGGGCCUUGGGCAUAUCGUUUGAAACUAGGCCAAGGCGAACCAGAAUGGAAUGGACAGCCAAAGCGUGAAAGAGGGAAAAAAAAAUAAAACAUUGUUUGAAGAGGAGGAGAAGAGGAGGGGUAAGUAAUUGAGGAAGAAGAGGAAUUUUGCGAAAAACAGGCAUAAAUGACAGAUUGACGGGAGAAAUGAGUGGAUUCGGAAGCGCAUAAGCGCGUAAUCGAGGCGUUAUUUAUCCUUACCUUUGCA